rnacentral:rRNA from 1 species
UGGGGAAUAUUGCACAAUGGGCGAAAGCCUGAUGCAGCGACGCCGCGUGAGUGAAGAAGUAAUUCGGUAUGUAAAGCUCUAUCAGCAAGGAAGAUAAUGACGGUACUUGACUAAGAAGCCCCGGCUAACUACGUG